GGCGCGGUGAACGGAUUAUGACGCUCAAGCGUUCCAAAUGACGCAACAAUACAGCUCCAGAACAGAGAAAGUUAAUGCGGAAGUUAUUAUUCGGUUCAACACUAAGACUGAGGUUUGACACGUGUGAUUUGAGGCUAGAGCUUGAGGACUCAACUCUGAAGACUGUUUCUGAAUUCACUGACCUGA